GGAGCGACUGCUGUGGCUGCUGACCGCCCCGUGGCUGCUGACCCCUCCAUUCCUAUCUCGUGGACCUUGCCGGAGUGAACUCUGGAGACUCAGUUUCGUUAUCCGUAGAACGGGGUUCAUGAUCCUUACAUUUUAGAGUGUUCGGGGGUUAAAAGAAAGAUGUAUCUGAACCACCUACGUACCUAGCUCUGGUGGGUGACCAUUACCAUUGGUUCCUUCCCAGACUCAACUCCUCGCUUCCCAGAGUCCACUAGGUUCCCGGCACUGGGGCUGUGAUGUAAAGUAGCCCUCAGGAAGUAUGUCUGGUGCAGAGCAGGCCAGGUGAGUGGCAGCGGGAAGAGAGGCCCUUGCCCAGUUUCAAGAUGCCAAGGGGGCUUCCCGGAGGAGGAGAAGCUGCAAAGGCGUGGCCGCAGGCUCGUGGCGGUUAGAUCAGAGGCAGGAUGAGGGGGAGGAGUUGGGGCCCUCGGGGAAGGUGAAGCUGAAAGAACCCCCGAGUGGUGCACUUUUUGGGCACUUUCGGGGCCUUAGGUUUUUACUUUACAAAGAGUCCUCUGGGGAGAGACCACAUGGGUGCAGCUUACCCUCCACGUUCACCGAAAGCAGCAACACUGGCCAAAUCAAGAAUUCUUCUGGAGUGGUAAAAAGACUAUUUGGAAAUUUGCAGGUCGGGCCAUGUACUCUUGAGUUCUCAGCAGUGACUGCAGACUGCAAGGACCCAGUGAACAGUGGUGUGAUCUCAGCCUGCUGGUCUGUCAGCACGGCCCUGGCCUGGCCUGGGGAGGGUGACCGAGCAGGUUUGGGGAUGAGCUGUUCGAUUCCUCCAGGAUUCCGUAUUUUCAGGAAGGAAGGUAAUGUUGGAGACGGCAGAGUGACAAACGGGGUGAGCUGGGUAAGAAUACAUGAAAACUGGAGGCCAAAACAACAAAGCUAGAUUCUGUGGAGACCUUCAGGGGAAAACAGUGAAGCCCUUUCAUAUUUUCAUACAGACAGUCGUUUCUGCGAUGCAGCUGCAGAGGUCAAACCUGGUGAUGAAGGUUCUCAGAAAGUGAUACCAAUAAUACAGUAAAUUCUUGAUUUUGGGGAAUCACAAACUAAGAGAAAAGAUACUUCAUUUCAUUAUGUUUUUUUCAAAAUAAAAUGCAAAAACACUUAUUUUCUAUGAAAUUUUGGUUCCCUAUUAGAGUUCAUUUUUGGAUGGCUCCUUUUGGAUUCCGGUAUCUCCUGUAGUUGCUAAUUUUACAUCUUAUUUCAAAAAGGAUUUAAGAUACCUAAUGUCCUUUGUUGAACAGCAGUAUAUUCUGAAUUCUUCCCCACCAAAGGGAUCCAUGUCCUAAUACCUUUCUCAUGUUCCUCAUCUCUAAGAUCCAUUUUGCCUACUAAUUGACAUUUUUUAAGUAGUAGCUUUCCCAUAUUAAGUAAAAUAGUAUAUUAUUUAUUUUAUAAAUUAUAUAUUUGAAUUAUACAUAUAAAUUUUGUACAUAUUAUAUGUGUGACUAUUGGUUAUAGACAUGACAAUUUUAUGUAUUUAUUUAUAUAUAAAUAUAUAUGUAUAUUUAAAAGUUUUAUAUACUCAGUUCUGAAUAGCACCUUGAGUAGUUGCCAUAAUCAUAGCUAAAAGUCAAAGGUGUCCAGGUACCUGCCUGGCUUAGCUGGUAGAGCAGGUGACUCUUAACCCCAGGGUUGUGAGUUUGGGCCACAUGCUGGGCGUGGAGCCCACAUUAAAACAAAAUUAAAAAUAAAUAAAUAAAAAUAAAAGUUAAGGUGUCUGUUUGACCACCCCCACCCUUCUCAGUGAUGGACACCAUGGCUCUGGAAGCUCCAGGACAGGGGGGUAUCAGAGGCUUGGUCAGGACGUGGAGGAGGAGUAGGGAGGGAGAUGGUAAGAUAGGAUCCAGCAGGUGUGACUGACCUAUCCAGUAGGAGUUCUGAGAAGGUCUUUCCAGGUCUGGGCAGUAGAAGGGAGUGGGGACAUCCUGAACUCAGGCCCAGCCUGCAUCAGUCCUGGUGUGGGAACCAGUUGGGGCCUGUGUCCCAGUGAG